rnacentral:rRNA from 1 species
GACGAACGCUGGCGGCGUGCUUAACACAUGCAAGUCGAACGGAAAGGCCCUGCUUUUGUGGGGUGCUCGAGUGGCGAACGGGUGAGUAACACGUGAGUAACCUGCCCUUGACUUUGGGAUAACUUCAGGAAACUGGGGCUAAUACCGGAUAGGAGCUCCUGCUGCAUGGUGGGGGUUGGAAAGUUUCGGCGGUUGGGGAUGGACUCGCGGCUUAUCAGCUUGUUGGUGGGGUAGUGGCUUACCAAGGCUUUGACGGGUAGCCGGCCUGAGAGGGUGACCGGCCACCUUGGGACUGAGAUACGGCCCAGACGCCUACGGGAGGCAGCAGGGGGGAAUAUUGCACAAUGGGCGGAAGCCUGAUGCAGCAACGCCGCGUGCGGGAUGACGGCCUUCGGGUUGUAAACCGCUUUCGCCUGUGACGAAGCGUGAGUGACGGUAAUGGGUAAAGAAGCACCGGCUAACUACGUG